GCCUGUUUAUCAAAAACAUGGCUCUUUGUAAAAAAUAAAUAGAGAGUCGGACCUGCCCGGUGAUAAUUUUUUAACGGCCGCGGUACCCUGACCGUGCAAAGGUAGCAUAAUCAUUUGCCUUGUAAUUUGAGGCUAGUAUGAAAGGUUUGACAAGAAUAUAACUGUCUCCUUCUGGUUAAAUAGAAUUUUACUUAUAGGUGAAGAGACUUAUAUAAUAUUAAUAGACAAGAAGACCCUAUCGAGCUUGAAAGCAAUUAAUAGACUAUACUUUAAUAAAUGAUAAAAUUAAAUCUAUUAAAAAUUUUGGUUGGGGCGACUAAGGAACAGAAAAAGCUUCCUUGAAAAAUUUAACGUUCAAGUAAUGAUCCAGAAGCAUUCUGAUUGAAGAAAUUAGUUACCGUAGGGAUAACAGCAUUAUCUUUUUUGAGAGCUCUUAUCGAAAAAAAGGUUUGUGACCUCGAUGUUGGACCAGAAUAUCCUAAAGGUGUAGCAGCCUUUGAGGGUUGGUCUGUUCGACCAUUAAAAUUCUACGUGAUCUGAGUUCA
rnacentral:rRNA from 1 species